rnacentral:tRNA from 1 species
GACCCAGUGGUCCAAUGGUAAAGCGUUCGCCGCGGAGCCAAAGAGUUCUGGGUUCAAUCCCUAAUUGGGUCG